UUUAAGUGUAACUGUGAGUUUCCAUAUCUAAUUUUGAUCGUCCGUAUUAUUUGAAUUUUUUUUAUGAUUAGUAUUUUUGUUGUUAUUAGAUGAUAAAAUAUGAAUAAUAGUUUAUGCGUGACUUAUGUUUUUAAAGUUUUUCAAAAAAUUCUCAAAUAAGACGGACGGACGAUCAAAGCUGAGCACGGGAAAUCAUGGCUGCACUUAAA
rfam:Oryza glaberrima chromosome 6 Oglab06_0048_29, whole genome shotgun sequence.